AGAAUUACCGUGUGUUGGUGAGUUACACCAGGGAACGUCAGACGCCAUCCAUCCGAUGCAGCACGUUGACCAGUGGGACUAGCGGUGAGGGAAAACUUACCGAGUCUCAUCAUAUAAAGGAACUCGGGAACCAUUCGAUAUGAACAUGUGAAGAAACCGGGGCCCACCUGCCAGUUAAUUGUGUACAUCGGAUGGAGAUCCAACGAUCUAAAUUUGCUUGCCCUUUCAUAUAUAAAUUCCGAACCCUAGCACCCUCACCAACCCCUUUCUCCUCCCACUCUCAGCCGCCACCCCCAUUCGCCUGCUCUCCCGAACCACCGCAGCCUCCUCCCGCUCGCCGCUCCUCAAGCUGCAACGAGGACCAACGCCUACGCCACCUUCUCGAGCUAUAGCUGUGGCCGGCAUCGACGCCGGUGCCUCCUCCUCUUUUCCCCAACCAACGCCGGUGUAGCACCGGUCCGCGUCCUUUUCCCUCAACCUGGGAUCCUAGAUCUGUUGCGCGGCCGUCCCCUCGUCAAGUCGGAUGGCCUGAACCUCCGCCGUGGCUCCUCCUCAAGCCGGAUGCCAUGGAUCUACCGCGACCGGCCCCCUCAUCAAGCAACCCAACCGAGAUCCGCCAUGGUCGCCUCCUGGCCAUGCAAGGUUAUUGGAGAUUAUUAGUUGACUCAAUUAGUGGCUUGGGCACAAGCUUUAAUGCGCUUGCAUAGACAGGUGGAUCCACGGUAGUAGCCGAGCAUUCUUAGCCGUGCAGCAGAGGGUGGUGCCAAAGCCUGAGCUCUGGGAUGAUGCAGUGAUUUGGGAAAAACAAGCAGUUUGCUCCUGGAAGCAUACUUCUGUAGGUUCAAGCAUAUCUAUACUUAGUAGGGCUGAACUUGUUCACAAAUUCAAAGAUAUGAUCAACGUGAGGCUUAUGGGAGCUUCCCCAAUGGAUAAAUUUAGGUGAUUGCCCUUGGAUCUCAGUGGGUUAUGGUCUCCAAGACUCCAACAAGCCAACUUGAUCAUGAUUCUUGUGUGUUGCAUUCUUGAUAGAGUUCAGGAUGGUGCUUCAACUAUGAAGAGCUUAAGCUGUUUUUUGCGGUUUUCUUAGGAUUCUGUAGGACUAGUACAUUGUUUCAUGCUUAGAUCGAGAUGUAUGUUGAAUAUUUCUUCUUUUUAUUACAUUUGCAUGUCAAUCAAUAUAACAUACUGAUGGAAUACUUUACCUUGUUGAAUGUAUUUAUGCUCUAACAGGUUUAUUGCAAGUUGAUUAAGAUUUCAUCUACACACUGUUAGUGUCCCUCAACUAGCAAAUGCAUAUAUUUUUUAAAAAAUGGUUCUAUUAGUGCUUCCCGAGUGGUGCAAGCAAAAGGACACGCGGUAAUGAUUUUUGAUAUUACAGAGUGGCAGCUAAGAACACACCGUAACGUGCUGUUGACGUGGCUAUACCCGUUAUGUCCACGUGUCAAUAUAUAAAACUCGGGAAGCUCAGUGUCUCCGUUUGGAUAGUCAUCAUGCCGUUAGUGGAACUUUGCAGAGUGUAUUGUAGACACUCCGUAACCUCCCAACUGUUACGGAGUGUUUUUUCAGAAAACACACCGAAAGACAGCACGGGAACCUCGUAUCACUCCCGGGCGUGCUGUACCACUCUGCAACAUUAUUACUGGGUGUUUGAAGUAGUUACCUAGCGUCCUGGCAUUGUUACCGAGUGUUUUCGACACUAGGGAGCCUCUCCCAUCCUAGUAGUGCAGGCUUAUUAGUGAACAUCCAAAAACCACUGCACAAGCUUGGCAUAGGAUUAUGAACCGAUGCUCAGUCGCAGAGAGUUUGCACACAAGAAUGCAAACAACGGGAGAUACUCAGUCGCAGACUCGCAGCAUGCAAGAUGCUAAACAAAACCUCCUGCAGCCGCUGCAUCGCCUUCUCCGCUGUGAAAAAUGAUCUUUCUGCCAGCAUAAGUUUCUGAACAUCCAGCAGAUGGCACUCAGGAUGAAGGUAACAGAUUGGAAGUAUUUAUAGUAGCUCUGAUACCUUCCAUGCCCACACUGUUUGUGUUUGUUUUCAUGUAUGACAAAUAGAUUUUGCUCUUUGCUGGAAGCGAGAUUCCACACUUUCUUCAUCAACUCUCACUGUCUCAAUAUGCAUAUAUGCUCAAAUCUGUUGCCUGUUGCCUCAAAUUUAUAUGCUGAUCAGCAUCGAAUGGACACGUAAUCUUACAGAAAAAAAAAUCGAAUGUACGUAUAUGGUACUCGGAAGAGAGAGGCCAGGAGUGCUUCGAUGAUUUUGUAUUGUAUAUUUGUAUUGGAUAGGUUUAAAUAGGCCUGGACAACCAUGGUUAAUUGGUUAAUUUGUAUUGGAUGUUCCGGUCUAAGCUCUUUGAUGAAUAACGCAAAACUCAUUGUGACGAGGUCAAGACUCCAGACAAAUGUUUAUGACUUCAACUGGAUAUUUCUAUCAAUUUCUCCAACAUUGUAGUUUCAAAUUUCAA